UUAUGGGGAGAAGAGACAGUACGGAUAAGAAAUAGGUAGAUUUUUUAUGGGAUCGUCGUCGGUAGCAGCAUCCGGAGGCGGCGGUCGGUUGUUGCCUCGUGGCCGGCGGUCGAGGGACGAGAGGCGGAGGGACCUUGCAGCCUAGAACGGUGGUAGGGUUUGAGCGGCCGAGAGGGGUGGGGGUUCCAGUGUAGAGAGGGUCCGAGGGGAGGUUGGGACUCAAGGAGCGUAUCCCGUGUCUGACUUUGUUCGCACACCUAGGUUCCGUACGGCGGGGAGGAGGCUGAUCGGUUGGUACCACCGCACCAAGGAGUACGCCAGGAGGAGGCUGGUCGUUUAGUAUCGCCGCACCAAGCAGACUGAACGCGUCCCCGAGAAGAGAGGGUAGCUAGCCGCGGAGCUGAAGCUUAGGAUGUCGGCCGUGGAGCUGAAGUCGAACGUGUCUGGUCGUAGGAAACAACGGUCUAGAAUUGGUGUGGCUCAAGGAGGCCGGCAGCAGCACUUGGAGGUUCGUCUAUUCGGUUGGAAGUACACAUAAAGGGCAAUAUAGAGGUGUGAGAUAAGGAGCGACAAAUAAAAAGUCCUUCUUCCACCUAAUCACCGAUAAAGGUCAUACAUCUACCCUACCGUUACCGAGAAGGAACCAACUUCCUACGUUACGUAGAGCGACUUAAGGUUCGACAUAAUAAAACCCAGAUGGAUCUAUGGGUUCGUCCCCUCUAUUUCCGACGUUAAACCCACCUUUAGAUCCCUCUGUUAAGAGCUACCGUCCAAACACCUCUUCUACAGGGUACUGUUGUGUUAGGUCACGUAUUAACGAAAUCGUCGGCCUUUUUCUCAGUUCUACGUCGCUACGUCACAGUUCACUCGUUACCGUACCGUACUCGUUAACGCCCCGGUCUACGCUCGCGGUGACGACAGGGUGUUACUUGUUCAAUAAGACGACAAAUACUAGUUCCGUAACAAACUAUUCCUUUGGGUAAACGAAGACUUGAUUAGGUGCACCGUUGAAGGUACCAAGUAGAUUAUAUUAAAACUUUCGUUAGACUA
rnacentral:rRNA from 1 species